GGGGGUGGAUGGUGCCUGGUGGUGCUCCUGGUCUUCAAAACCAGUGUCGGGCGGACAACCCGUCCUGGGUGGGUUCGAUUCCCACACACCCCC
rnacentral:tRNA from 1 species